GAACGCAUAAAUCUUUCGCCUUUUACUAAAGAUUUCCGUGGAGAGAAACAACUCCGAGUUUCUCAUCAAUUUUUUGAGGCCUUGUUUUCACAAGGCUAAUAACUUUGUACAAAAAGUAGAGGAAUGUUCAGUACUUCUGUGUGUCUGGCGGGAGCGUUCCGCGUUCUGGAAAAACUGGUGGUAAUUAAAACCAUGGGAGUGGAUGAGGUACCACAGAAUCAAAAGGAAGAGAAGAGAAGACGACCUUGGAUUGAUUCCUAGGAGAAAAAGAAACCAACACUUAAGGGACUGGUGGAGGAAAAGGGAUGUGUGAAGGGCUGAGAAAUAGUUUCCAGAGAGAUAGGAGGAAGACAGGAAAGUGUGGGGUCUGGGAAGGAAGGGAUCAGAGUCCUCAGGGAGGAGGGUGGGAUCAGGAGGGUUUGUAGUUUGAGAGUUCAUGCCCAGUGAGGCUGAGAAGCAGCUCUGCAGGACCCAUGCCCAUUCAUUGGACAAAUAACAGAUUGGGUACGUGUCAGCUACAGUCAGCAACAGCGCUGACUGAAACUGCAGUAAACAAAACAGAUGCAAGGAGCGUGCCGACACUCGAUGGAAACUGGAGUGCAAGGGGAAGGAUUCCUCCAAUCCAAAGAGGAACCACGGAGCCCACAGCCUGUCAGCACGAGAAGAAAGCUCUGUGAUCACCUGUUUGAUAGAUGCAGAAACCCAGAACAAAGACUUGCCCAGGGAAUUGCAGUGAAUGGGAGAUAGAGCUGUAGCAGCAGGCUUCGUUCAUGUGGCAGACGUGCCUCAGAAAUGGCAUGGCACCUGGGAAUUGUGGCUCUGUCAGGCAACCGUUUCCAAGGCACUCAGCACUGAUGAGGUUGGUUUUACAAUUCUUUGGUCCUAGAACCUGGGAAAACCAGUGCCCCCGUUCUUUGUCCUCACAUCCAGACAAGACUGCCACCUGCUGGCCACACUAAAGAAGUGCACCUCAGUGCCAUCCAUACACAGCUUUGCUUCCUUUUCCAGCAGAGUUGGGGUAUGAAUAAGUUGGGCAAAUCGCACUGUUGUAAGGAAAAGACCAGUGCCAGGCAACUUCCUGACCAAUUACAUCCUGUUCUUUGAUCCCUGUACAUUCCGCCACCUCUUUUACCAAAUCCUGUUCAAAGCCCAAAGUUGAAACAUUAAAAAUAUAUUUUAUGCAGUAUUUUGUUUAAAAAAGCCAGGCAAGGGACUUACCUGGUGGCGCAGUGGUUAAGACUCCGCCUGCCAAAGCAGGAGACGCGGGUUCGAGCCCUGGUCCGGGAAGAUCCCACAUGCCGCGGAGCAACUAAGCCCGUGCACCACAACUACUGAGCCUGCGCUCUAGAGCCAGCCAGCUACAACUACGGAGCCCGUGUGCCACAACUACUGAAGCCCGCGCUCCUAGAGCCCGUGCUCCACAACAAAGAGAAGCCACCGCAGUGAGAAGCCCGCGCACCGCAUCGAAGAGUAGCCCCCGCUCGCUGCAACUAGAGAAAGCCCGGGCGCAGCAAUGAAGACCCAACGCAGCCAAAAUAAAUAAAUAAGUAAAUAAAUAAAUUUAUUAAAAAGAAAAAAAAGCCAAGCAACAUAGUGUUACGUGCUAUGGUGCUAUACCUGUUGCUGAAUCAAUAAUUACCAAGGUGUGUCUCCCAUUGGUAUCCGCCCUUCUGGGCCGGUCUCGCCAAGCCCAACCAGCCCUGUCACCCGAGCGGCACACCCCACACCAGGUGCAGCGUGGGGUGAGGGGAGACAGUAUCAGGCCCUGGCGGACACAGUGUUUAGGGCCAGACCAACUGGGCAAUUAGAAACAAGUUUUUCCCAAGGACUUUCUAUUUUUAAAAAAACUCUGGAAGACUGUAUAAUAAAACUUAUAAAUGCUAAGUAAA